AUGCGGGUGGUGCGGGGGUAAGGAUGGAAAGAGCAGAAGUAGGACAGCUAAUGGGGUUCCUGCAGGCCUAUAACCUGAAGACUUCAUCCCACCUUGGUGCCCCCCCUGGCUGCCCAGCACACACAGGCCGUCUUUGGGUCUCACACAUGUCCCACCAACUCAGAAGCCUCAACCAGUGAAGGUUUUGUUUUGAACUAAUGGUGGGGAGGGUUGGUUUGGGUUUUUUUAAUUGUUGCUGGCUGAUUUUUUUUUUAGGUCUUUUUUUUUCUCUAUUCACCUUUUUUUUUUUUCUUGUCUUCACAAAGCCUGGCCAUCAGGCCCCCUGUGGGCUUUUCCAGAAAGGCCUGAAGCCGGUCUUGCAGAGAGGUCGGAGUGGACAUUGGAUGACAGAACUCUGGGUCAUGCAGAGUGCUGGGGAGCCAGGAGUCUCAACCCUGGCCUGUCAGGAGAAGCUCCUGGACUCUGCUCUACCCUGUUGACCGUUGGUUGGAGGGUGUCCCUGCCGAGGUGAAGAAAUGCAGCUGCCAGCUCUUGAACAACCUUAAAACCUCACAAGCUUCAGGGCCCCAGAAGAAUCUCCUAAUCUCACAACAUACCCGUUGUUGCAGCCUAGAAUUUAAAACCUGAAACUGUUGGGCUCAAGGAAACCUGGGGGUUUCAAAGCCCUGCACCAAGGAAGGCAGGGUCCCCGCUCACCAGCUUUGUGAUUUGCAGCAAGUUGCUUGGCUACUUCAUGCCUCACCACUGUCCCCAUCUGUAUAACACCCAUGUUGACAAGAUGGACCUCAAAGGGCUGUGUGGUAAGGAGUGAUUAUUACCGUUUGUGAGAAUUCAGCACUAUGUCUGGCACAUGGAAAAAUCCAAAAUAAAUGUCAGCUACAGG